CCUCUAGUGGCGUAGGGGUAACGCGCCCUAACUAGAGAUUAGGGAGUCGUGAGUUCGAUUCACUGAGAAGA
rnacentral:tRNA from 1 species